ensembl:lncRNA
CCAGGGCCUUGCGCUUCCUAGGUAAGCGCUCUACCACUGAGCUAAAUCCCCAGCCCGUGUUGUGUGUUCUUUUAUGUGAGGGUUUGAGUGUAAGAAAGUGUGUGGCUGGGCUGUGUUUCCGCCAAGAUAUCUAGCAGAUAUCUGGGGCACUGAGGUGUAGGACCUAGCAGGGUAAAAGACCAAACUUUACCGUUUUAUUUUUAUAUUUUUACAACAACAACAGAGAUUCACUUGCCUCUACCUCCUGGGUGCUAAGAUUAAAGAUUAUCCAACUGCCUCUUCAUUCUUCAUCCACACUCCUCCUUUGGCUCUGCCUUAGGUGGCUCAUCUUGCCAGACUUCACACUGAACAACUGCCAAGGAUGUUGCAAUGCAUGAGCUGUAUGCAGUGUGUUGAGGUAUCCAGGAAUGACAGCCUUUCCAAUAGUCACAAAUAGUAUAAAAUACCUCAGUGUGACUCUAACCAAGUGAAAGAUCUGUAUGACAAGAACUUCAAGUCUCUGAAGAAAGACUUUGAAGAAGAUCUCAGUAGAUGGAAAGAUCUCCCAUGUUCAUGGAUUGUCAGGAUUAAUAUAGUAAAAAUGGCCAUCUCGACAAAAGCAAUAUACAGAUUUCAUGCAAUCCCCAUCAAAAUUCCAAAUCAAUUCUUCACAAAGUGAGAAAGAGCAAUUUGCAAGUUCAUUUGGAAUAACAAAAAACCCAGGAUAGCGAAAACUAUUCUCAGCAAUAAAAAGAACUUUUGGGGGAAUCACAAUCCCUAACCUCAAGCUGUAUUACAGAGCAAUAGUGAUAAAAACUGCAUGGUAUUGGUACAGAGACAGGCAGGUAGAUCAGUGGAAUGGAACUGAAGACCCAGAAAUGAACCCACACACCUAUGGUCACUUGAUCUUUGACAAAGGAGCCAAAACCAUCCACUGGAAAAAGAUAGUAUUUUCAACAAAUGGUGCUGGUUCAACUGGAGGGCAACAUGUAGAAGAAUGCAAAUUGAUCCAUUCUUAUCUCCUUAUACAAAGCUCAUGUCCAAGUGGAUCAAUGACCUCCACAUUAAAGCUGUAUACACUAAAACUAAUAGAAGAAAAAGUGGGGGAAGAACCUUGAACACAUGGGCACAGGAGAAAAUUUCCUGAACAGAACACCAAUGGUUUAUGCUCCAAGAUCAAGAAUUCACAAAUGGGACCUCAUAAAACUGCAAAGCUUCUGUAAGGCAAAGGACACUGUGGUUAGGACAAAAUGGCAACCAACAAAUUGGAAAAAGAUCU